ACUUGCAGCCGCGGGCGGUUGCGGAGUGACCGUUAACCGGGAAACCGUUAUCGGCGGCGCCCGAACCCCUCUUUAAAGAUCCGUUUUUGAACGGAGAUCACCUGUUGGCCUUGGUGGCAGAGCGGGAAGGUGACACAAAGCUGUGGGAGCGGUUCGGCUGAGCGCCGGGGUAGCAGGAAACAGCACAAUGAAGGGAAGCUGAAAGAUGCAGCUCUGUAACGCAUGCUGUGGCCUCCUUAGCCCUGUCUCUGAAAUCACUAUGGUCUGGCUCCUACACAUGAGAAAAAAUCAAGGAGGGUUGAGUCAUGAAAGAAACAAGGAGAAAUCUGACACAGAUGGGGAAUGAUUUUCAGAAGGACUCUAUGUAGUGAAUAUGACUAACCACUAAGCUGCCUGAUGUUGCUACUGCCUCGGCUCUGUUCUUCAUCAGAUUAAGUUCUCCUCUUACUUCACUGAGGAGCAGCAGAAAGUGAGUUUUAACCAGUAUGUCUGGAAAACAGCACUUUGAGUAAGAUGUAUCAAUACACAUUAAGGGUUCUGCCAUGUUCUUCUGUUACUCAGAGACUUCUGCUGAGGACAGCGGCAUUGAAAGGAUUCAUAUAUUUAAGUAACUGUUGGAGGAUUAUCAUAAAUCCAGAUUCCAUCUGUUUACAUGAUAAGGUGGAAGCAUUCAUGAUUUCUUUAAAAGCCAGGAGGGGGCUGUGUUUAAUUAGUACUGGCUUUAGCACCUAAGGGCACUGGGGACUGCUUGGAAAGGGGUACAAAAGUACAUCUGGGCAUGUGUAAUACAUUUUUAAAGUAUUGGGGCUUUUGAAGGAAGUGCUAUUACAUUAGAAGUACACUUUCUCUGUGAUUCUUCAGGCAUGGCACUGUGUGGAAGGGUAUGGGUUUUCCAUUCUGUUUUUCCAGUCAGUGGAAAACAUAUCAAUUUUAAGUAUGCCCAUUAAGUGUCCCACGGCCUAUUCAGGAAACGUCAUUUAUGAAACUUUACAUGGGAGAGAUUGUGCUGUCCAAUGAUGUGAUCUCAGACUUUUGCAUUUUUCUUCUGUGUGCAUCUUCUUGCACACUUGUGGAAGUCACAGUUAAGUCUAAAUGUCGAAGGAAGUUAAUAAUGCCUUUGUUUUUACAUUGUGGGUAAAACAUGCUUCACAGAAGUUCCCCUUCGCAACUUUUUUACGUAUGUGUCAUGUUAAUUUUUUUAGGUGCUGAAGCUAAUUAUUCACAACAAGGUAGAAUGCUGAAGUUGGGUGACAAUACUGAGAGGAGAUGCUUUGUGGGGAGAAAGAAACACAAAUUCAUAUAAUGCAACGUAUACUGCAACUGCACUAUCAUAAAACUCCCAUUACUAAUGUAGGAGAUUACUAUCUCCAGGAUAAACUGUAAUAUUAGAAUAUCACAUACAAAUGCAUAAAGGAAAACACCAAAACGAACUAAUGGACUAAGAAGCACAUGAUGAGCUUUACUUUCAGGUUAUGUCUGUGUUUGUGUGUUGCAACAGUUAAACCUGAGCUGCAGCUCACUCUGCUCUACAGCAUACUAAGACUUGACUCAAGCCUGAUGAAGUUAAAAAGGAUGUUUUUACAAAUUCUACUUACCUUUCAAGUUACAGUCACCAUCAGAUCUACUUUGGCAGUUUUUGCUUUGAAUUCCUGUGCUUCUGAGUCAUAGAUUUGGUGGAUUAUGGCUGACUGUGUAUUGUAGCAGCCCAAAUGAAAGUGGAUUUUAAAAAGGUUCUCUCCCACAUAAAGUCUUCUUGGCAAGAGUUGGUUAAAAUUUUCCUGGUAGUGCUUAAAAAAAUCUUUGGUCUUAAAUCUGUAUCAAUACUGCUGGUUUUGUGAGUUUAAAAAUUAUAGUAAUGAAAAAAAAACCCCAGCACAAGGGUAGGGAGCAGAAGUUCCCUGUAAAGAGGAAUGAAUCCUUUUCAAUUCUUCUCAGCCCUGGUCCUACUACUUACCCCCAGUUUCAGGGGAAUCUUAAUCUUGAGAGACAAUUUCAUUUCCAAAAAGUGCUUGUAGGUAAUAUGUGAACCAACCACUUUGCAGUCUAAUAUCAUGAGAUCCUGACAUCUCUGUACACAGUGAGGUGAUAUCAGUGUUUGGAAAAUGUACUAGCAUUUUCCUACACUGAUGUGACUCUUGCAGCAUUUGCUUUGCUUUGCAAGCCAGCUACGUAGAAUUCCUGUGCUAUGUGUCUAGCAGAACCCUGCUGCUGGCAGGAAUGCUGUAACUAAAAGAAGUGUUUUCCUAAAUAAAAAAAAACCACCAAAAA